rnacentral:rRNA from 1 species
UACGUAGGGUGCGAGCGUUGUCCGGAAUUAUUGGGCGUAAAGAGCUUGUAGGCGGUUUGUCGCGUCUGCCGUGAAAAUCCAAGGCUCAACCUCGGACUUGCGGUGGGUACGGGCAGACUAGAGUGUGGUAGGGGAGACUGGAAUUCCUGGUGUAGCGGUGAAAUGCGCAGAUAUCAGGAGGAACACCGAUGGCGAAGGCAGGUCUCUGGGCCACUACUGACGCUGAGAAGCGAAAGCAUGGGGAGCGAACAGG